GAUGAAGAACGUAGCGAAAUGCGAUAAGUAAUGUGAAUUGCAGAAUUCAGUGAAUCAUCGAAUCUUUGAACGCACCUUGCGCCCUUUGGCCAUUCCGAAGGGCAUGCCUGUUUUAGUAUCAUGAACACCUCAACUCUUUAUGGUUUUCCAUGAUGAGCUUGGACUCUGGGGGUUUUGCUGGCUCACAGUCGGCUCCUCUAAAAUAAAUCAGCUUACCAGUGUUUGGUGGGUAUCAUGGGUGUGAUAACUAUCUACGCUUGUGGUUUUUCCACCAGGUAACCUUCAGCAGUGGAGGUUCGCUGGAGCUCAUAGACGUCUCUCCUCAGUGAGGACAGCCCUUUGAACGUUUGAUCUCAAAUCAGGUAGGACUACCCGCUGAACUUAAGCAUAUCAAUAAGCGGAGGA
rnacentral:misc_RNA from 1 species